UACAGAGGUCUCAAGCGUUGUUCGGAUUCAUUGGGCGUAAAGGGUGCGUAGGUGGCACGGUAAGUCGGGUGUGAAAUUUCGGAGCUUAACUCCGAAACUGCAUUCGAUACUGCCGUGCUUGAGGACUGGAGAGGAGACUGGAAUUUACGGUGUAGCAGUGAAAUGCGUAGAGAUCGUAAGGAAGACCAGUGGCGAAGGCGGGUCUCUGGACAGUUCCUGACACUGAGGCACGAAGGCCAGGGGAGCAAACGGG
rnacentral:rRNA from 1 species